AUUGAACGCUGGCGGCAGGCAUAACACAUGCAAGUCGAGCAAGCGGCGGAAGGGUGAGUAAUGUAUGGGGACUGCCCGAACGAGGGGGAUAACUAAUGGAUAAGGAGGCUAAAACCGCCUCCUGGCGGAUAACUCAUAUGGGAGUAUCUAGUAGGUAAGGUAAUGGAUUACCUAGGCGGCGAUCCCUAGCUGGUCUGAGAGGAUGAUCAGCCACACUGGGACUGAGACACGGCCCAGCCUCCGACGGAGGCAGCAGUGGGGAAUAUUGCACAAUGGGCGCAAGCCUGAUGCAGCCAUGCCGCGUGUAUGAAGAAGGCCCUAGGGUUGUAAAGUACUUUCAGUCGGGAGGCGUUACCGACAGAAGAAGCACCGGCUAACUCCGUGCCAGCAGCCGCGGUAAUAC
rnacentral:rRNA from 1 species